UACGUAGGGGGCAAGCGUUGUCCGGAAUCAUUGGGCGUAAAGCGCGCGUAGGCGGCCUCGUAAGUCCGCUGUGAAAGUCAAAGGCUCAACCUUUGAAUGCCGGUGGAUACUGCGAGGCUAGAGUCCGGAAGAGGCGAGUGGAACUCCUGGUGUAGCGGUGGAAUGCGCAGAUAUCAAGUAGAACACCAGUGGCGAAGGCGAGUCCCUGGAAAACUCCUGACACUGAGGCACGAAAGCUAGGGGAGCAAACAGG
rnacentral:rRNA from 1 species